rnacentral:lncRNA from 1 species
UGGAGCACAGGGACUCAUUCGUACCAUCUCUUCCUAUUUCACAGGUGUUCGCUGCACAGGGGUGGCGGUGGUGUUCAGAAGUCCUUCCUGCCCUGUUGCAGGUGGAUACAGAAGCAGCUGGAGUAUGCAGCCAGGCAGGUCUGCUGGAGUUUACUGGGAGUCCAUUCCAGAUCCUGUGUGCCUGGGUAUCACCAGUGGAGUCUGAAGAAUAACAAAGAUUGCUGCCUACUUCUUCCUCUGGAAGAAAGUAUCUGAAGUGAAAAGAAUGGGACUGAGAUACUGCCCGUUUCCAGCACUGCUCCAGAAUGAUCCAGAACAACGUAUUCUCACAGAAAUGGAAUGGGAGUUACAUAUGUCCCUUUACAUUUCCUAGUAAGUAAAAGAAACAG